GUGGGCCAUUAGCUCAGUUGGUUAGAGCGCCAGAUUGUGGCUCUGGAGGUCGUGAGUUCGACUCUCAUUAUCCACCCCA
rnacentral:tRNA from 1 species